rnacentral:lncRNA from 1 species
GCUUAAAAUAACUGUCAUGUAUUAAUGACGAGAAUUCGUUCUAAAAGAAAAAAGCCAUACAUUUCUGAAAUUUAAGGCAGUCUACUCUCUGAAGGUUGUUCCAAGGGUCUGUGAAAGCAACAAGAGGAAGUUCUUGUAGGCAGGAGUCCUCUUCUCCUUAAAACUUCCUCAAACCUGACCAUCAUAAUGACCUCCUGUAUAUACAAAUAUUCAUAUUGCACAUCACAUUUCCAAAGAGGCUAAUUUUCAGGUCUGCUAUUGUGGUUAAAAUUUAAUCAUUCCAAAUAUGAUUUGAUAGCUGUUAAUAAAGGUGUGAUACCACCUAGA